GGCCUGCGGCCUCACCAUGGACCCGGAAUGCGCCCAGCUGCUCCCGGCUCUCUGUGCUGUUCUGGUAGAUCCCAGGCAGCCGGUGGCAGAUGACACCUGUUUGGAGAAGCUCCUGGACUGGUUUAAAACGGUCACUGAAGGAGAGUCCAGUGUCGUGCUGCUGCAGGAGCACCCCUGCCUGGUGGAGCUGCUGUCCCAUGUGCUGAAAGUCCAGGACCUGAGUUCUGGGGUCCUCUCCUUCUCACUCCGCCUGGCAGGAACCUUCGCAGCCCAGGAAAACUGCUUCCAGUAUCUUCAGCAGGGGGAGUUACUACCAGGGCUCUUUGGGGAGGCAGGACCCCUCGGCCGAGCAGCCUGGGCCGUCCCCACCGUGCGCAGCGGCUGGAUCCAGGGCCUGCGCUCCCUGGCACAGCACCCCAGCGCCCUGCGCUUCCUGGCCGACCACGGUGCGGUCGACACCAUCUUCUCCCUUCAGGGAGACUCCAGCCUGUUUGUGGCCUCGGCGGCCAGUCAGCUCCUGGUACACGUCCUGGCUUUGUCCAUGCAAGGUGGAGCCGAGGGACAGCCCUGCCUGCCGGGGGGUGACUGGCCCGCGUGUGCCCAGAGGAUCAUGGAUCACGUUGAAGAGUCCUUGUGCUCCGCGGCCACCCCCAAGGUCACUCAGGCCCUGAACGUCCUGACCACAACCUUCGGGCGCUGCCAGAGCCCCUGGACGGAAGCCCUGUGGGUGCGGCUGAGUCCCCGCGUGGCGUGUCUGCUGGAGAGAGACCCCAUCCCCGCCGCACACUCGUUCGUGGACCUGCUUCUCUGUGUGGCUCGGUCAGGGCCCCGGGACGCAGCUGGGGGGCCUGGGUGGGCAAUUGUUUUCCUCGGAUAACGCCCAGGGAUGUCCCACUGGCAGCCAGAGACUCUCUGAGGACGUGGCCUGCAGUGAAGCGGCACCGGGGUGACCCUGGAACCCUCAUGGGGAAAGGCCUGUCUUGGGCUGGGCGCCUCCAGCGCCGGAGCCAUGGCAGUCUCAGCCAGGCCUCGAAUGGGGUUUUGAGGGUGGGGGAGUAAUUUUUCUCUCUGGGGUCUCCCUGCAGUUCUCCCGUGUUCAGUUCUUCCGACGGCAGCCUGUGGGAGACAGUGGCGCGGGCUCUGAGCUGCCUGGGUCCCACCCACAUGGGACCCCUGGCUUUGGGGAUCCUGAAGCUCGAGCACUGUCCACAGGCACUGAGGACCCAGGCCUUCCAGGUCCUUCUCCAGCCCCUGGCCUGUGUCCUGAAGGCCACGGUUCAGGCCCCCGGACCCCCAGGCUUGCUGGACGGGACGGCAGACGAUGCCACGACGGUGGACACACUCCUGGCCUCCAAGUCGUCCUGCGCGGGCCUCCUGUGCCGCACCCUGGCUCACCUGGAGGAGCUGCAGCCGCUGCCCCAGCGCCCUUCACCGUGGCCCCAGGCGUCUCUACUGGGGGCUACAGUGACUGUCCUGCGGCUCUGUGACGGCUCAGCUGCCCCUGCCUCCAGUGUGGGGGGCCACCUCUGUGGGACCCUGGCGGGCUGCGUCCGGGUCCAGCGAGCAGCCCUCGACUUCCUGGGGACACUGUCACAGGGGACAGGCCCCCAGGAGCUGGUGACGCAGGCGCUUGCUGUCCUCCUGGAGUGCCUCGAGAGCCCCGGCUCCAGCCCCACGGUACGGUGGUGGGGAUAGAGAGCGAGGAGAGGAGGGAGGCAGAGGCAGUGGGACCCACCCCUGACUCCACCCCGUCCCGUGCAGGCCUCUGCGGAUGGGGCCUUCACACAGGGCCACAGAGCUGCUGCUCAGAGAGCUUCACGACGCAGGUGGCUGCAUGGGGCGGGCCCAGGGCCUCUUGUUGGUGAAGAUACAUCAGCACGCAGGGGUGUGUGGGGCCGUGGGGAGCAGGGGCACUGGCCAGGCGGCCUGCGGGGAAUUCUGGACAAGGGAAAUGAGGUGGUACCAGGACGGCCCUGGGCGUGGGCUUUGGGUUCUCCUAAGCGCCGUUUGUGAACGUGCCCACUCCACAGCCCCUCACAGAGCUGGGCCCUGGCAGGUACAGACCUUGUGCCACCUGCCGCUGAGCAGACAGCAGACAACUUUGGAGGAAGGACCCAGGGCUUCUUGGGAUCCUAAGGAAAAGGUGCCCUGCGUUAAUUGGUCAUGUUUUGAUGUAGAAAUCCCGUUGCCUGGGUUGUGGGUCUUCUGGUGAGGGCUGCCACCACCUCCUCCUGCUCACAGUCUGGGAAGCCGGUUCUGCAGCAUAUUCUGCCCUAUUAAAAUCAGCCCAGGAGGGGCGUGGGGCUCACAGCUGUGAUUACUGUGCGUUGGGGGGCCGAGGUGGGGGGAUCAAUGGAGCCCAGGACUUUUGAGGCCAGCCUGGGCAACAUAGCAAGAUCCCAUCUCUACAAAAAAAUAGAAAAAUUAGCCCCAGGGGUAUAGCUCAGGGGUAGAGCAUUUGACUGCAAAAAUUAGCCAGGCAUGGUGAUGUGUGCCUCUAGCCCCAGCUACUCAUGAGGCUGAGGCAGGAGGAUUGUUUGAGCCUGGGACGUGGAGGCUGCAUGAACUGUGAUUACAGUCCAGCCUGGAUGACACGUUGAGACCCUGUCUCUAAAAAAGAAGGAAGCCCAGCGUUCCCUUCUCUCUCCACUUCCUGUCCCCAUUGCUGUCCCUGGAGUAUGGGCAGCACAGGUGAAGGCGAGGGGGACAGACAGACAGCCUGCCCCUCCGUCUCCCGUGGCCCUGCAGCCCACCCUAUCUGCUCCAGGUUCUGAAGAAGGCCUUCCAGGCCACGCUCAGGUGGCUCCUGAGCUCACCCAAGACCCCCGGCUGCUCUGAUCUCGGCCCCCUCAUCCCGCAGUUCCUCAGAGAGCUGUUCCCUGUGCUGCAGAAACGCCUGUGCCACCCCUGCUGGGAGGUGAGGGACUCCGCCCUCGAGUUCCUGACCCAGCUGAGCAGGCACUGGGGAGGACAGGCCGACUUCAGAUGCGCACUCUUGGCUUCAGAGGUGCCUGAGCUGGCCCUGCAGCUCCUCCAGGACCCUGAGAGUUAUGUCCGAGCGAGCGCGGUGACCGCCAUGGGGCAGCUGUCCAGCCAGGGCCUGCACGCCCCCACCAGCCCUGAGCAUGCAGAGGCCCGGCAGGUAGGAGGUGGUGGGUUCCUCAGCCAGCAACUCCCGCCUGGCCAUCGUGUGUGCUCGUUUGCUUGCGGGUGGGCGAGGGGCCAGCAUGCAGCGUGGGAGCAGCUGCUGCUGUGGGCAGCGCCUGCAGGAGUGACUGCCGAGGCCCUGGGGCUCUGCUGGGUGUGGGACCUGCGCGCUUCGCCUUCUGUCUCCCCAGCACCCUCCACUUAGGCGUGGUUACCUCCAUUUGACAGAUGGGUAAACUGAGGAUUGGAGGGCCGUGUGCUCACCGCGCAGCAUGGGAAGGUGUCAGAGCGGGCUGUGGCCCUAGACUGCAUGUCCGGGGCCAGCCCCCAUGAUGUACCGGGGUCCUGUUGCGGGAGCCUCGCUCCUGCCACCCCACCAACCAUCCGCACUUGCUCCCUGUCCCCCAGAGCCUGUUCCCGGAGCUCCUGCACAUCCUCUCCGUAGACUCGGAGGGCUUCCCACGGCGGGCGGUCAUGCAAGUCUUCACUGAGUGGCUGCGGGACGGCCACGCCGACGCGGCCCGGGACAUGGAGCAGUUCGUGGCCACUGUGCUGCAGGUGGCGAGCCGGGACCUGGACUGGGAGGUCCGCGCCCAGGGCCUGGAGCUGGCCCUCGUGUUCCUGGGCCAGACUUUGGGGCCGCUGCGUACCCACUGCCCCUAUGCCGUGGCCCUACCCGAGGUGGCCCCAGCCCAGCCACUCACCGAGGCACUGAGGGCUCUCUGCCACGUGGGGCUCUUUGACUUCGCCUUUUGUGCCUUGUUUGACUGCGACCGCCCUGUGGCGCAGAAGUCUUGUGACCUCCUUCUCUUCCUGAGGGACAAGAUUGCUUCCUACAGCAGCCUGCGGGAGGCCAGGGGCGGCCCCAACACUGCCUCCGCAGAGGCCACCCUGCCGAGGUGGCGGGCGGGUGAGCAGGCCCAGCCCCCAGGGGACCAGGAGCCUGAGGCUGUGCUGGCCAUGCUCAGGUCCCUAGACCUGGAGGGCCUGCGGAGCACACUGGCCGAGAGCAGCGACCACGUGGAGAAGAGUCCCCAGUCCCUCCUGCAGGACAUGCUGGCCACGGGAGGCUUCCUGCAGGGGGAUGAGGCCGACUGCUACUGAGCAGAACCAGAGUCUGCCACUGGGGCUCAGAACCAAGGGAGGCAGCACCAUGUCCUUCUGUGGGACACUGCCAGCCCCAGGGCUCCAGACCAGCCCGGCGGAUCCUCUGGGGAAGCCAGGACCAGGAGAGAAGCAAGGUCAAGAAAUCCCACAGUUUGAUGUAUUAAAGAAAUGACUUAUUUCUACUC
rnacentral:sRNA from 1 species